rnacentral:rRNA from 1 species
AGAGGGUGCGAGCGUUGUCCGGAAUCACUGGGCGUAAAGGGCGCGUAGGUGGCCUGGUAAGUAGGGGGUGAAAUCUCGCGGCUCAACUGCGAGGCUGCCUCCUAAACUGUCAGGCUCGAGCAGAGUAGAGGCAGGUGGAAUUCCCGGUGUAGCGGUGGAAUGCGUAGAGAUCGGGAAGAACAUCGGCGGCGAAGGCGGCCUGCUGGGCUCUUGCUGACACUGAGGCGCGACAGCGUGGGGAGCAAACAGGAUUAGAUACCCUGGUAGUCCACGCCGUAAACGAUGGGUACUAGGCGCCGGGGGGAGCGACCCCUUCGGUGCCGUCGCUAACGCAAUAAGUACCCCGCCUGGGGAGUACGGCCGCAAGGCUG